AUUGGACGCUGGCGGCAUGCCUUACACAUGCAAGUCGAACGGUAACAGGUCUUCGGAUGCUGACGAGUGGCGAACGGGUGAGUAAUACAUCGGAACGUGCCUAGUAGUGGGGGAUAACUACUCGAAAGAGUGGCUAAUACCGCAUGAGAUCUACGGAUGAAAGCAGGGGAUCGCAAGACCUUGUGCUACUAGAGCGGCCGAUGGCAGAUUAGGUAGUUGGUGGGAUAAAAGCUUACCAAGCCGACGAUCUGUAGCUGGUCUGAGAGGACGAUCAGCCACACUGGGACUGAGACACGGCCCAGACUCCCACGGGAGGCAGCAGUGGGGAAUUUUGGACAAUGGGCGGAAGCCUGAUCCAGCAAUGCCGCGUGCAGGAUGAAGGCCUUCGGGUUGUAAACUGCUUUUGUACGGAACGAAAAGCCCUGGGUUAAUACCCUGGGGUCAUGACGGUACCGUAAGAAUAAGCACCGGUUAACUACGUGCCAGCCGCCGCAGUAAGAC
rnacentral:rRNA from 1 species